rfam:Ferroplasma sp. Type II genomic scaffold AMDT4_FER2S00088, whole genome shotgun sequence.
GCGGAGAUUGCCGAGCUAGGAAAAGGCGAUGGAUUUAGGGUCCAUUUCCGUAGGGAUUCGUGGGUUCAAAUCCCACUCUCCGCA